ACGAACGCUGGCGGCGUGCUUAACACAUGCAAGUCGAACGGUGAACUCCGCUUGCGGGGGGAUCAGUGGCGAACGGGUGAGUAACACGUGGGCAACCUGCCCUCAGCUCUGGGAUAACUCCAAGAAAUUGGGGCUAAUACCGGAUAUGACCGCUGACCGCAUGGUCUGGUGGUGGAAAGAUUUAUCGGCUGGGGAUGGGCCCGCGGCCUAUCAGCUUGUUGGUGGGGUAGUGGCCUACCAAGGCGACGACGGGUAGCCGGCCUGAGAGGGUGACCGGCCACACUGGGACUGUGACACGGCCCAGACUCCUACGGGAGGCAGCAGUGGGGAAUAUUGCGCAAUGGGCGAAAGCCUGACGCAGCGACGCCGCGUGGGGGAUGACGGCCUUCGGGUUGUAAACCUCUUUCAGCAGGGACGAAGCGAAAGUGACGGUACCUGCAGAAGAAGCACCGGCCAACUACGUG
rnacentral:rRNA from 1 species